CUGCUGUUGCAGAUGACACGACAUCACCGUGUUCACUCAGCGUCACGAGAAGCAGUGCGGCUGCAGCCGCUAUUUUUUUUGCCAAAAAAAUGCUUUUCGUAUUCACUUUUGAGAACUCUUACAUCGGUUUCCCAAUUCAGCAGGGACCAAACUGUGAUUGUACACCCCAAAGUAAUUUUUUUUCCAAGUGCUUCAGCUUUCCUUUAAGCAAAGUUUGAGGAUGUGUAAGCACUGCAUAGAAGCAUUGCAAAGCUUUAAAAUUUAUUGCACAACUACAAAUAAGCUACAACGCAAUGACACAAACUGCAUAUCAAUCUUUAUAAUUAGACAUAAAAACAUUCGAACUAGACAUCCAAACAUACACAAAAUGCAAUAAAUAUUUAAAACACUAGCGCAAUCACAUGAAAAGAAUGCACCCUGCAAAUGCCCUUGAACAUGAAUACAAAGUGGAUUUUGUUUGUUGUUUUGCUCAUGAUAGGUGAGAGAGCGUGACAAGCUUUUGGAACAAGACCUUGGUUUUGUGAAUGGAACAAUUUGGUGCAGGUGAUUUUUUUUUUCAGGGUGCAAACUUUUAUUUUGGAGCAGAGGACUAAUCAUGGUGUGGGUGAUUGAAACAAGGUACAUGAAAUCUGCUCUAGCUCCUCCAUUUACACUAAGUUCUGAACUUGUACGCACUUCUGAGGGCAUAGGUGACUUUCAUAUUCUGCUUUCUGGUGUUUACAAGACACAUUGGAAUACUGCAAAUCUAGCUCCCGUAAAGCUGCCCAUAUUUGUCUGCACGCCAUACAGAUUUUUAUAAUUGGCUUUUUGUAAAAGUUGUUAGUAAGACAAUGAGUACAAGAAAUGUCAAAAAUUUUUUGUGUGCUUAUUUGAGUACUAAAAAAUAAACCAAUAGCUUUACAGCACAGAACGGGCCCUUGUGAAUAUGCUUAUGCAAAAAUUGUGACGAACUUAUGUCUAAUUCAUUAAUUAAUUUUGGGAUGACAAUGAGAGAGUAUCAAGUGUUGUAACUCAACAACUACAACAGAUAGCUCAAAACCGACUUCAGUUAUGAUAUCAGCACAACAUAUCACAUCUGCAUGCCAAAUUUCAUCACUUUAUCUCCAUAAAUAACCAAGAUAGUUUUCAUUGCCACGUCCCCCCUUAAGUCAUGUCUCACUGUACGAUUACGAGACUUUGUCAACUAUUCCAUGCACUGCAGUGGACUGUGGGAUUUGGCAAAGAAAGCAUGGUGUACCAGCAGCCAAGUACCUCAGUUCUAUUUCUUGACCGCAGCAACAGACAGUAGCUGCCUUGGCCUCUACAGAUGUCGGCAACAUAUUUUCCUAAACAUGCAUAACAGGUGCAAAUCAUUCCUCCGGACACCGCGCGUUGAUUGUUCCAGAUACAGGGAUAUUGCACAGAAAUGCCUCUGAUGAAAUUUCACGCUCCUUUGAAGACACUGGAAUAUUGCAAGUUAAUAAAGUCAUCAAGUCUGUAAACUGCAAAAGCUUA
rnacentral:lncRNA from 1 species